rnacentral:rRNA from 1 species
AUGGAUGCGCGCUCUACCUCUCUGCUUCUACUGACUUUGAUCCAUCUGCUUUUGCGCAUCUCGGCUCGCGAAUUCCUCUUGCCAGGCUCCUCUCUCUCCAUAGAGGAUAGCUCCGGCGCCCUCCAUUCGCCAAACGGUGCUUUCACCUGCGGCUUCGACAACAUCUCCCCAAAUGCCUCUGUCUUCUCCAUUUGGUUCUCCGACACCGCUGAGAAGACCGUCGUCUGGAGCGCAAAUCAUCUCCACCCGGUGUACUCCUGGGGAUCCCGAGUCAUGCUGCAUGCAGAUGGCAGAAUGGUCGUAGAAGAUUACAGUGGCCAGCCUGCGUGGGCAAACAAUGUCAGCUCCUCAUCAAAGGCCGAGCAAGCUCAGCUGCUGGACACCGGAAACCUCGUCGUCAGGGGCCAAGGUGAUAUCAUUCUAUGGCAAAGCUUCGAUUCUCCUACUGAUACGUUGCUGCCCAAUCAGAACAUUACUGCGGCUACAAAGUUGGUAUCUACUCAUAGAUUACUUGUUCCUGGGCACUACAGCUUCCAUUUCGAUGAUGCGCAUUUACUCUCACUGUUUGAUGAUCAGAAGGAUAUCUCUUUUAUCUAUUGGCCAAAGCCAGAUCUUACUACCUGGGCAAGGCAAAGAAACCCAUUUAGUACCACCACCAUUGGGCUUCUUGAUAGCUGGGGGUAUUUCCAUGGAAGUGAUAAUUUGACUUUUAAGUCUACUGACUGGGGUCUCGGGAUUAUGAGGAGGCUAACAUUGGAUUAUGAUGGCAACCUUCGAUUAUACAGUCUAGAAAACAGAGAAUGGUCAGUCACAUGGAUAGCAUUUCAGACCUGCUUCGUACACGGUCUGUGCGGUAUGAAUGGAAUAUGUGUGUAUACACCUAGACCUGCUUAUGCAUGCGCCCCUGGACACGAAAUCAUCGACCCAAGUGACCGGAGCAAAGGUUGCCGGCCGAAGUUCAACCUCAGUUGUCAUGGGCAGGAGAUGAAAUUUGUGAAGCUACCCUCCACUGACUUCAUAGCUUAUGAUCAAAGUAAGCUUAGCUUAGUUUCCUUCGAUACUUGCAAGAAGAUAUGCAUGAAUGACUGCAGUUGCAAAGGUUUCUCAUACUGGCAAGGAGGUGGAUCUUGCUAUCCAAAGUCAUCCCUUGUUGGUGGUGUAACCAGCCCAGGUUUACCUGGUUCUAUCUAUCUGAAGCUUCCAAAGACAUUACAGGUCUCAGGGUCCUCAAUUCCUCAAUCACAGCCUUUUGGUCUCAGAUAUGCUCCUAACUGUAGCGCAAACAACAAGUAUUUCACUGCAGAUUUUCUGGAUAUACCUAAGAGCAGUCGGAGUGGAUCAAAGUACUUGUACUUCUAUGGGUUCUUAUCAGCGAUAUUUUGUGUGGAGGUAAUGUUUGUGGCAUUAGGAUGCUGGUUUAUGUUGAGAUUGGAGGGCAAGCAGUUAACAGGAGUAUGGCCAGCUGAGGUUGGCUAUGAGAUGAUAACCAACCACUUCCGGAGAUAUACUUACAAGGAGUUGCAGAGAGCAACUCGGAAGUUCAAGUAUCAGAUUGGGAGGGGCGCAUCUGGUCUUGUGUACAGGGGGGUCUUAAAAGACAAGAGGGCAGUAGCAGUGAAAAGGUUGGCAGACAUAAACCAGGGAGAAGAAGAAUUCCAACAUGAAUUGAGUGUGAUUGGAAAGAUUUACCAUAUGAAUCUGGUGAGGGUUUGGGGAUUCUGUUCUGAUGGUCCCCACAGGAUAUUGGUUUUAGAGUAUGUUGAGAAUGGUUCGUUGGAUAAAACCCUGUUUAGUGGAAAGGGCUCACAGAUAUUACUUGAAUGGAAUGAAAGAUUUAAGAUUGCUCUAGGGGUGGCAAAAGGAUUGGCUUAUCUUCAUCAUGAGUGCUUGGAGUGGGUUAUACACUGCGACCUCAAGCCUGAGAACAUACUGUUGGAUGAGAACUUGGAGCCAAAGAUCACAGACUUUGGCCUCGCAAAACUUCUGAAUAGGGGCGGAUCCAACAAAAAAGUAUCGCGGAUCCAUGGAACUAGAGGUUAUAUAGCUCCCGAGUGGGUUUCUAGCCUCCCAAUAACAGCAAAGGUUGAUGUCUACAGCUUUGGAGUGGUUCUCCUAGAACUACUGAAGGGGGCUCGUGUUUCAGACUGGGCUUCAAAUGCUGACGAAGAAGUGGAAAUGGUCCUUCGAAGGGUUGUUAGGAUGCUUGCAGAAAAUCUGAUGCUGGAGGGUAGCAAACAGUUAUGGAUCGCUGACUUCAUUGACUCCAGGUUGAACCGCCAGUUCAAUAACCUGCAGGCAAGAACAAUGAUCAAGUUAGCUGUUUCAUGCGUAGAGGAAGAUAGUAGAAAAAGACCCACCAUGGAAAAUGCUGUGCAGAUGCUUCUUUCAGUUGAUGAAGCCAGUGGCAUAAUGCAGCAGUAUUCUACCAACUGA